CUGGCGGAGCGUUUCCCAGCUUCGAGAAGUAUAGAUCCCAAUUUGAGGGCGCGAUUGAUGAAGAGGGACUGAUCGGCGUCAGAAGGUAACAAAUCGAGGAGGCGCUCGAAGGAGAGGUCGAUAGAGAGGGAAGGUGAGUCCGCAAGGCCUAAAAAUGUUUGGAGGAGAUUGUCCACUUGGUGGUUCAUGUUCGGUUGCCUAUUAGGGCUUAGGGAGGAGGAAGUGCUAGUGGUGGCGGUGGCGGUGGCGGUGGCGUUGGAGGAGGAGGA
rnacentral:misc_RNA from 1 species